rnacentral:sRNA from 1 species
UCAUGCUAGGCAGGGUCUCCUUUCCCUCUCACUGCUCAAUGUAUGGCCUCUCUAAGCUGAGUGCUCAGUCCGUCGAGGAGGACAGCUGUCCCUGAACAGAAAGGACUGGUAUCUACCUGGGGCAUACAGGGAAAUACUAGAGGUAUACAUAUAGCUGCACUCCCCUGCUAGAACCUCCAAACAAACGAGAGCUGACAGAUCAAUCAAGCCAAAGACAUCUGGUAAAUUUUAUAUAAAUAAUAUAUAUGUGAACC